rnacentral:lncRNA from 1 species
UCGACUUUCUUUGUUUAUCUCAAGCAAAUCCUUCUCCACAAGGGUUUCCGAAUCAAUGGCGACAGUGCCUUGAGCUGAAGUAUCAUCAGACUGAUCAACAGGAGUAAUGCGACAAUCCAAAUCAACACCGCUAGAUCUAUGGAUUUCAGGUGACUCAGUUUUCUUUGGAGAACCUUGUUCAUUGGAUACUGAAUGCAUUUUGGAAUCUUCAACAACAUUAGCAGGAAAAACUGGAACAGAUUCCAAGGAAUCGUUUGAUCUCAGUCCAACCAUAUUUUCAAUCAUCGUCCUUGCUCCAGGAGAAACCGAAGGUGAUAUCGAUGCCCCUGCCUGUUUGUUAGAAGCCUCAGCGAUAUCAGCGUUAGGACCAGCAUCCUCAGACUCUAGUGGUCGACUUUCUUUAUUUAUCUCAAGUAAAUCCUUCUCCACAAGGUUUUCCGAAUCAAUGGGGAUAGUGCCUUGACCUGAAGUAUCAUCAGGCUGAUCAACAGGAGUAAGGCGACAAUCCAAAUCAACACCGCUAGAUCUAUGGAUUUCAGGUGACUCAGUUUUCUUUGGAGAACUCUGUUCAUUGGAUGCUGAAGGCAUUUCGGAAUCUUCAACAACAUUAACAGGAAAAAUUGGAACAGUUUCCAAAGAAUCCUUUGAUCUCAGUCCAACAAUAUUUUCAGUCAUCGUCAUGGCUCCAGGAGAAACCGAAGGUGAUAUCGAUGCCCCUUCCUGUUUGUUAGAAGCCUCAGCGAAAUCAGCGGUAGGAGCUGGUAACAUUUGCCCAGAACCAUCAUCCUGAGACUUUAGUGGUCGACUUUCUUUGUUUAUCUCAAGCAAAUCCUUCUCCACAAGGGUUUCCGAAUCAAUGGCGACAGUGCCUUGAGCUGAAGUAUCAUCAAUCUGAUCAACAGGAGUAAUGCGAGAAUCCAAAUCAACACCGCUAGAUCUACGGAUUUCAGGUGAAGCAGUUUUCUUUGGAGAACCCUGUUCAUUGGAUGCUGAAGGCAUUUUCGAAUCUUCAACAACUUUAACAGGAAAAACUGGAACACUUUCCAAGGAAUCCUUUGAUCUCAGUCCAACCAUAUUUUCAGUCAUCGUCAUGGCUCCAGGAGAAAUCGAAGGUGAUAUCGAUGCCCCUGUCUGUUUGUUAGAAGCCUCAGCCAAAUCAGCGUUAGGAGCUGGUAAUCUUUGCCCAGAACCAUCAUCAUGAGACUCUUGUGGUUGACUUUCUUUGUUUAUCUCAAGCAAAUCCUUGUCCACAAGG